GAAAAUUUAACAACAGGAGGUUCAUUAAGAAUCUUACUUUUAAAUUCUAAACUUUUAUCCUAAAAUAUUUGCACUUAUUUUUCUCUUUUACCUAAACAGGGAAAAAACAAAUGCAUUUUAGGUGUACUUAGAGACCCAGCUAUCACUUGCUCGGACUAUUUUAAUCGACAAAUAUCCCUCGAUUUUUUAUGCAAACAUUUCUGUCAGAAAUCUUG